rnacentral:rRNA from 1 species
GAUGAACGCUAGCGGCAGGCUUAAUACAUGCAAGUCGAACGGGAUUUAGGAGCUUGCUUCUAAUGAGAGUGGCGCACGGGUGAGUAACACGUACACAAUCUACCUUGUACAGGGGGAUAGCCUUGGGAAACUGAGAAUAAUACCCCAUAGUUUUAAUUUAUCGCAUGAUAGAUUAAAUAAAGCUGAGGCGGUACAAGAUGAGUGUGCGGAUGAUUAGGUAGUUGGUAGGGUAACGGCCUACCAAGCCGACGAUCAAUAGCUGGCGUGAGAGCGCGACCAGCCAUGAUCAAACUCU